GUUAAGGUGGCAGAGCCCGGUAAUUGCGUAAAACUUAAAACUUUAUAAUCAGAGGUUCAAAUCCUCUCCUUAACA
rnacentral:tRNA from 1 species